CCCAGGUGGAAAGGAUGACCUCAUAAAAGCAGACUGAGCUCUGAGAAAUAUCCUCUAUGUGUGAAAGAAGUAGUAAGGGAGGCAUCUUUAAUGCUACAGAAGGCAUUCUCUGCAGAGGACUGGAAGCUGGAGCUGAAGGACAAUCCUGUGGGAGAACUGAACCUCCUUGCUGCAGCAGAUUUUGAGCUCAGUGAUGGAACAGACCAUACCAUCUGCUUUCCUCAGUGCUGUAAAGUGGAUGCCUAUCAUGGUGCAUGAAUUAGGAGCUUAGUAUGUCCUUGGUGAAAGAACAGAAAUCAAAGCACUGG